AGCCGCCACCACUUCUCCUUCCUCCUCUCGCCGCUCCAUGUCGACGCCAGCGGCGCCGGCCCUGAACCACCCCACGUCGGGCCCCUCCACAUCUAUCCCACGCCGGACCUCUCCCCGUCUACCCCACUCCACGCCCCUCCCCAUUCAGAUCGGCGCCUCGAGCUGUUCAACCCAGCCAUACCCCUCGAUCUGAGGCGGCAGCGGAGGCGGCGGGACCACGUCCCUGAGGUCGCUGGCGGCGGGCAUUGAUCCAGCUCCAUGUGGCGGCGAGCUGAGGUGAGGUACAGGAGGUGGCAACACCGCCACACAUCCAGAGUACAUCGGCGGUCCUUGUGGCUCGGUCCAAUUGUCCGUCAGCCGCGCCACCGUCGGUCCCCUCAUCGUCGCGGUCGUCUUCUCCAUCCGUGGUGCGCAGCCUCCUCUACGCGUCGCCGUUCACCUUCUCUGACCGGAAAGACCCAAUUCUGUAGGUACAUUUUACUGCAGUGUCCGAUGUUUCUGCAUGCACAUUAUGGUGAUGGAUCCCACAAUGGAAUUUGGGUCUGAAUAGCUACCUGGAAGCAUUGGCGGUGUAUUGUUGGAGAAUAAAUCAGCAAGCUAUCACACAGCUAGAAUUGUUAACUAGGGUUGCUAUUACAGUGCUUCUCUGUUAUAUAUUAUGUGCAAACUUUCUAUGUGUUAUCAUCAUUUAGUUGAUUAGUCCUCCCUGUCUACUCCUCUCCUACUUUUGUUCUCGCACUAAUUACAUACAAGUUUAGUGUCAGAUCCGUGAAAUGUACUUACUACCAUCAUUUGGUUGCAGCAAAUAUUACAUAGUUUGUUCAUCGCACCUUGUCGUACUCACUGACAAGUAUUAUUUGCUGCGAUCUUGGAUUGUAACAAUUGGGUUUAUUUACUAUUAUUCUGUUAGAUAUUUCUCAUGCUAGUUUUCUGGUUUGUCUAGCCUGAACAGCCUCCAAGAUUUGUUUUUGUGGAGACAAAAUGAGAAGCUUAUUCAUUGAGAUAUUGGCUAUACAACAGAGGUUUCCCUGCAAUGGCGAUCCACAGGAGGUAAGAUUGGGAAGUGGGCUACUUGGUGCUGCUCAUCACAAUCAGCCAAGACAUGAUGCUUGCCAUCAGGAGGGCUGACAACUAGAACCUAAAUAACAGCCUCUGUAGUUUGUAUGUUCUGUUGAUGUAAAAUGAAUUGUACACGUUCGUAAGCGUGAUGUGUGAUAUAUUUUGUCAAUCUAUAUUCUAAGUUAUCAUUUUAUAGAGGAUUUUGUAAAUUGCUACGUUGUAGAUACAUACAGAUUAAUGUUAUUCACUUGGCAAA